rnacentral:rRNA from 1 species
AGCGAACGCUGGCGGCAGGCUUAACACAUGCAAGUCGAACGCCCCGCAAGGGGAGUGGCAGACGGGUGAGUAACACGUGGGAACGUACCCUUUGGUUCGGAAUAACUUGGGGAAACUCAAGCUAAUACCGGAUAAGCCCUUAUGGGGAAAGGUUUACUGCCGAAGGAUCGGCCCGCGUCUGAUUAGCUAGUUGGUGAGGUAAUGGCUCACCAAGGCGACGAUCAGUAGCUGGUCUGAGAGGAUGAUCAGCCACACUGGGACUGAGACACGGCCCAGACUCCUACGGGAGGCAGCAGUGGGGAAUAUUGGACAAUGGGGGCAACCUUGAUCCAGCCAUGCCGCGUGAGUGAUGAAGGCCUUAGGGUUGUAAAGCUCUUUUACCCGGGACGAUAAUGACUGUACCGGGAGAAUAAGCCCCGGCUAACUUCGUGCCAGCAGCCGCCGUAAUAC